rnacentral:lncRNA from 1 species
UCCGAUUCAUGUAGGUAUGCUAUCUUGCUUGUAGUGCUAGCAACUUCUCAUGUUUUAACAUAUUUAUUUCAUUUGGGUAUUUUAACAAACACCAUGAAUGCAUAGUUUUGUGUUACAAAUUUCACAGCCAUUUAUCUACAUCAAAAGUCCAUAAUAACAUCCUUAUUACUCCACAACCCAACCUAUCUCCUUGUGCCUAAUUUCAAUUCACAACAGUCCAUUUCAUCACAACUUGCAUAUAUUAGUUUUAAACAAGAUAGUUUAUUAUUAAAAGUUUGAUAUCACAAC